UACAGAGGAUGCAAGCGUUAUCCGGAAUGAUUGGGCGUAAAGCGUCUGUAGGUGGCUUUUUAAGUCCGCCGUCAAAUCCCAGGGCUCAACUCUGGACAGGCGGUGGAAACUACCAAGCUGGAGUACGGUAGGGGCAGAGGGAAUUUCCGGUGGAGCGGUGAAAUGCGUAGAUAUCAUUUGGAACGCCAAUGGUGAAAACAGCUCGCUGGGAAUGAUCUGACACUGAGACGCGAAAGCCAGGGGAGCGAACGGG
rnacentral:rRNA from 1 species